AAAUUAUUCAAUUAAAUUAUCACAAACGAUCUUCAUCUUUUCCACCCUUCUUCAAAACCAUCGACACCAUCCCAAUCGUUGUCACCACAUUAAAUCCACCACCCACCAACACUGCCUCUGCCUCCAACCCCACCACCUUCACCUUAAAUCUAAAAUCCACCACCGUCCCAAUUUCGUUUAUCUUAGUUGUGACAGCACUAAGGAGGCGAG
rnacentral:lncRNA from 1 species